UGCGGGAUCAGAAUACCAACCCAAAAUUUGAAAGCAUGUUUUCGAUUAAUUCUUGUUUUGUAAGAGCCUGGUUUAGAUUAUUUUAUUAAAUAUAAAUUCUGUAUACUUCAAGUGGACUUAAGUGUGAUGAAUACAAGUAGUCAAGGGAUGGAUUGAUCAGGCAGCAGCUCAGACUGAAUGUGUCAAAUGUAAUGCUACAUACAGUUGAAAUAUCAGAUGGACUUGAAGGUUAGUCCUUCAUAAAAGUAUGCCAGUGCUGAAAUGAAGUGAAGCAAACGAAUGAAAUAAUUGUAUGGCGGGAAAAGCUCAUAAAAAU